AACGAACGCUGGCGGCAUGCCUAACACAUGCAAGUCGAACGAGACCUUCGGGUCUAGUGGCGCACGGGUGCGUAACGCGUGGGAACCUGCCCUUAGGUUCGGAAUAACUCCCCGAAAGGGGUGCUAAUACCGGAUAAUGUCUUCGGACCAAAGAUUUAUCGCCUUUGGAUGGGCCCGCGUUGGAUUAGCUAGUUGGUAGGGUAAAAGCCUACCAAGGCGACGAUCCAUAGCUGGUCUGAGAGGAUGAUCAGCCACACUGGGACUGAGACACGGCCCAGACUCCUACGGAAGGCAGCAGUGGGGAAUAUUGGACAAUGGGCGAAAGCCUGAUCCAGCAAUGCCGCGUGAGUGAUGAAGGACUUAGGGUUGUAAAGCUCUUUUACCCGGGAUGAUAAUGACAGUACCGGGAGAAUAAGCUCCGGCUAACUCCGU
rnacentral:rRNA from 1 species